CCUCCAAAGCACAGAUCCAGUUGCCACCUUCAUGCUCCUCCCUCACUGGAGAGGCUUCAGCUGCAACGCGUAUAUGAGCUGGCUCAGACAAUAUCCAGACGUUGCAAAAGUACUUGCCAAAUUUCCUGCAAGAAGAAUCCAAUUUCAGGCACCACAACACUGGUUUGAUACCAUACCCAAUCCUACCCCACCAUCCUAUCCUAUGCAGCUUAUUGUUGUGUGGAACCAUAAUGCCAGAGUUAUGCUAGACAGCG
rnacentral:lncRNA from 1 species